rnacentral:tRNA from 1 species
GAGCCGCUAGCUCAAUGGCAGAGCAACGGCCUUUUAAGCCGAUGGUUGUGGGUUCAACUCCCACGCGGCUCA